rnacentral:lncRNA from 1 species
AUUACAGGCCUAAAGUUGAUCACAUAGUUUUUUUUCCUUCUCAUCAAUCUACACACAAUACCCCAUCAUGACAAAGCAAAAACAGGUUUUUAGAAAUUUAUGCUAAUUUAUUGAAUAUAAAAACCGGAAAUAUCACAUUUACAUCCUCUCAAGCUCUGUCAGGUUGGAUGGGGAGCGUUGCUGCACAGCUAUUUUCAGGUCUCCAGAGAAGUUUGAUCGGGUUCAAGUCCGGUCUCUGGCUGGGCCACUCAAGGACAUUUAAAGACUUGUCCAGAAGCCACUCCUACGUUGUCUUGGCUAUGUCUGAGGUCCUGAGUGCUGUGGAGCAGGUUUUCGUCAAGGAUCUCUCUGUACUUUGCUCCGUUCAUCUUUCCUUCAAUCCUGCCUAUUCUCCCAGUCCCUGCCGCUGAAAAACAUCCCCACACCAUGAUGCUGCCACCCCCAUGCUUCACCGUAGGGAUGGUGUCAGGUUUCUUCCAGACGUGACGCUUGGCAUUCAAUCUUGGUUUCAUCAGACUAGAGAAUCUUGUUUCUCACGGUCUGAGAGUCCUUUAGGUGCCUUUUGGCAAACUCCAAGAGCGCUGUCAUGUGCCUUUUACUGAAGGGUGGCUUCCAUCUGGCCACUCUACCAUAAAGGAAACAGGAUGCAUCUGAGCUCAACUUUGAGUCUCAUAGCAAAGGGUCUGAAUACUUAUGUAAAUAAGGUAUUUCUGUUUAAAAAACAAUAAUACAUUUGCUAAAAUCUCUAGCAACCUGUUUUCGCUUUGUCAUUAUGGGGUAUUGUGUGUAGAUUGCUGAGGAUUUUUUAUUUAAACCAUUUUAGAAUAAGGAUGUAAUGUAACAAAAUGUGGAAAAAGUCAAGGGGUCUGAAUACUUUCCAAAGGCACUGUAUAGGGAGUAGAAAAUAACAUGGUUAUAUACAGGAUGGAGUAUAUAGCCAAAAUGUAGUGGCACUGAAAAGUCAGCGCUGGUGUAAAUAAAACACAAUUCAUCUCGUAGACUUGUUGCAGUUUGAACUAGUGUGAAUCAGCUUGUGUUAACUUCCUAGCACAUUUUCCCCUGCAGUGCCUUCAUGGUAAUAUACUGUUGUAAUACCAUAUGUUAGAUAGAGGGACUCAUAGGAGCAGUUCAUGUAGAGUCAUAGAGGUCACUGUCAUGUCCCUCCCUACUGUGGAUCAUAAUUGAUUAGCUUUGCUUUGAGGAUAGAACUGGAUAGUUUUGAAUGUGGAGAAUCUUUCCAUAACGGUAACAGUGAGGAAAAGUAAUAUACCAUGUCCUUAAAAGGGACAGAGAUAAGGAGUGGUGUCUGGAAGCUCAGCAUUUCAUUGAAUCUUUUUUUUCAUAAUUGUGAUAACAGCAAGUCUGUAGUUUGUCAUAUUCAACAUGAUCUUAUCCUACUUGGUGUCAAAUAACACUAUAUCUCGACCAGAGAUGUUGUAAGCUAUUGAAGUGUAUGUCCCCUAACAUUUUAUAAGGUUUAGCAUAUGUGGAUAUGUAUGUGUGAGCUUUAUAGCAUUCUAUGUAACAUUUCUUGCAGAGAGCAUCCUAAAAGAGUCUCAGCAUUGUGGAAUGUGUUGCGGUACAAUAUAUAGAUCAUCUGCACUUUUAAUUACAAGUGAUGUGAAGGUCACUUGUUACCAGUACAAUGGGGGUGUUAGACUUUUCCCUGAUUUUUAUGGCUGUUGUCUUUGAAAUACAUUUAUAAGCGAGAUGCAGGCAGCAGUCGUAUGGUAUAAUUGCCUGUGUAGCAAGUUCUUUAAUGUGCGAAGUAGACUGCUUCUCAAUUUGACAUUUUUCAAAUGUCAGUGUGAAACUUUAUUUCAAUAUAAAUUUGCCUAUGUCGGCUUGUGCUGUCUGGUCUUAAAUAUCAUGCCCAUGUUUGAAAUAUUGGACUAGUUUUUUUGGCCUAUGUGCUUAUUUUGGAGAUAGCUCAUGUGAUAAUGCAGCCUUUACAUUUGCUCUACACCCCUGAGUUGUUUUGGACAAUAGUUCACUACAAAAAUGUUUAACUGUAAUGGGAAUUGUAAUGCAUGUGAUAAUAGAGAAUAUUGUUUAUUGUACAUAAGUGUACAGUUGAUCUUCACAAUUUGUAUUUAAUGCAUGAAAUAUUCUUAAAAGGGAAAUAAACUAAUGUCCACUGAAAUAUAUUGCCUUUUGAGAAGAAAACCAAAGAUUUUGUGGCCAAACAUUAUCUCCUUUAUAAUAAUGUUCAUCAGUGCAGCAUAAAAAAAUAGGAGACAAGUGCGACGCCAGUUGGUAAAUUUGUUGUACUACUCGCAUACCGUACUUGUGCAAAUAUUGAUAAAACGUAACCUUACAAUAGUACAUUGUCAUGCCCAAUACUAUCACAGCUUAUUAAAUAGACACAUUCGAAAUUCGUGACAUACAUUUACUGAUUGCAUUGUUUCGCUUAAGCAGUUCGCUUCUCACCUAAUCACCUGCUAAUAGUCAGAAUUUGGCAUCUCCAUUAUAAGGCAAGCCAAGAGUGUAAGUCUGGUUUGGAAUGGCGUUUUAUUUCACACUGGAAGCAAACAAAGAGUAAGCUAAAAUAGUUACUGUAUAUUCCUGAAUUAGUCAGUCAGCAGAGAGUUAAAGUGACAGUACAAAAGUGCAGACUGGACCGUAGUUUUAUGGACACAAUCAAUUGUUUUUUCCCUUACAGUGCUAUGUUUGUGCCAUAUAGUGUCAAGGGGCCCCACGCAAACUUUUUCAUUCCAACUCAUCUGUUUUGCUAUGGACUCUAGUGAGUAGAUUAUUUUGUAUGGCGCAAUAUGUAUGUCCAAUAUGACAAAAACGAUUGGAUUUAAGUUGAUGGGCUGCUCUAUAUCAGGGCCAUCAAAUGGGCAGCCACUCCCCCCUGAGUGUAACCUCUGUGGAUUUGGAAAUCUAGAAGUGCUCCUGAGGAGAAUGGACCCCCUUUUACUGUGACACAACAUACAAAUCAUUUUGUACAGUGCAAUAUGUAUAUGUCCAAUAUCAAAAACUCUUUAAGGGGUGCAAAUUGAGCAGCAACACUCCUUGGGGUGUAAACUCUGUGGAUUUGGAAAAUAGAAGUGCUCCUGAGUAGAAUGGAUGAAACGUUUUAUUGCGACACAACGUACAGAUACUUUUUGUAAGGGGCAAUAUGUAUAUGUCCAAUUUUUUUUUUUAAAGAUUGGAUUUAUACUGACCAAAAAUAUAAACGCAACAUGUAAAGUGUUGGUUUUAUGAGCUG